AAAUUGAAGAGUUUGAUCAUGGCUCAGAUUGAACGCUGGCGGCAGGCCUAACACAUGCAAGUCGAACGGUAACAGGAAACAGCUUGCUGUUUCGCUGACGAGUGGCGGACGGGUGAGUAAUGUCUGGGAAACUGCCUGAUGGAGGGGGAUAACUACUGGAAACGGUAGCUAAUACCGCAUAAUGUCGCAAGACUAAAGAGGGGGACCUUCGGGCCUCUUGCCAUCGGAUGUGCCCAGAUGGGAUUAGCUAGUAGGUGGGGUAACGGCUCACCUAGGCGACGAUCCCUAGCUGGUCUGAGAGGAUGACCAGCCACACUGGAACUGAGACACGGUCCAGACUCCUACGGGAGGCAGCAGUGGGGAAUAUUGCACAAUGGGCGCAAGCCUGAUGCAGCCAUGCCGCGUGUAUGAAGAAGGCCUUCGGGUUGUAAAGUACUUUCAGCGGGGAGGAAGGGAGUAAAGUUAAUACCUUUACUCAUUGACGUUACCCGCAGAAGAAGC
rnacentral:rRNA from 1 species